GACGAACGCUGGCGGCGUGCUUAACACAUGCAAGUCGAACGAUGAAGCUAGAGCUUGCUCUGGUGAAUUAGUGGCGAACGGGUGAGUAACACGUGGGUAACCUGCCCCGAACUCUGGGAUAACUGCUGGAAACGGUAGCUAAUACUGGAUACGACCUACGAAGGCAUCUUCUGUAGGUGGAAAGAAUUUCGGUUCGGGAUGGACUCGCGGCCUAUCAGCUUGUUGGUGAGGUAAUGGCUCACCAAGGCGACGACGGGUAGCCGGCCUGAGAGGGUGACCGGCCACACUGGAACUGAGACACGGCCCAGACUCCUACGGGAGGCAGCAGUGGGGAAUAUUGCACAAUGGGCGCAAGCCUGAUGCAGCAACGCCGCGUGAGGGAUGACGGCCUUCGGGUUGUAAACCUCUUUUAGUAGGGAAGAAGCGAAAGUGACGGUACCUGCAGAAAAAGCACCGGCUAACUACGUGCCAGCCGCCGCGGUAA
rnacentral:rRNA from 1 species